AAUCCAUACAUUGGACAUUUUUUAAUUAAAUCUUAAAAUUGUUCCCAAACUUCAUAUAGUGUUUCAUCCUCCAACUACUGAAAAGAUGUGGUGCCAUUUCUAAGCUU
rfam:Gossypium raimondii chromosome 5, whole genome shotgun sequence.